rnacentral:rRNA from 1 species
GUCUACGGCCACACCUAGGCGAAAACACCAGUUCCCGUCCGAUCACUGCAGUUAAGCGUCUGAGGGUCUCGUUAGUACUAUGGUUGGAGACAACAUGGGAAUCCGGGGUGCUGUAGGCU